UGUAGAAAAUGAAGAAUCUGCAGAAAAUUAUAAGAAAGAAAGAAAAAAGCAAAAUGGCACAGACCCUCCACUUAGGAAUCGUUGACUCCUGCAGACAUUAGCACAGCCUUUUACUCUCUCCAUAUGUUUCACACUCAGCUGCGUACUACGGAGGCCGUUCUGCAUAUGGCGACUGUAAGGCAUCAUUGGGAAUAUCAUGAGAUGACAUGA
rnacentral:lncRNA from 1 species